AUCAAUUAUAUCCAGAAACAACAUUUUGUCAGCCAGAGAAUAAUGAUACAGGAUCACAGACAAAGGCAUAUUGGGGCAUGCCAAGUUUGAUUUUUCAGCAACAAUUUCAAAACCAAUAGUUGAAACAACAAAUUUGGGUACACUGGUCCCUUUUUUUCAAUAGAAGUGUAUGUUCAACUUCUUGGGUCUGAACUUUUAUUCAAUGAGAAGUUACUUUGAAAGAAAGAAUAAGGUGCGAACAUAUCUAACUCCAGGCACGAAAGAAAUUUUGAUUGCUAUUGGGAAUUAGUCGAGACAUCAUAAUGCUAAGCUAUGUCUGAAUUUGAAACACUAUAGAUUGUGUUCUCAACAGAGAUGGGAUAUAACCAUAGAAAAGUGUAUUGAAAUUUGAACCUGGGAUUGAAGUUAGAGCAGUUUACUCGUUAGUGGAUUGAAAUCAAAGCUGUGUACUUGAGCAUCACUAACAUAACAUUGGGUAGCAGUUUCCCCGUAUUCGUUUAAAAUAACAAGACGAAGCAUGCUCAAAAUUUAGAGCACACUGAUGAGCAGGACGAAAAGGCACAUUGACUGCAGUGCUUAUAAAGGCAGUGGUUCAUACACGCUUUGGAGAUAGAAACUGAAGUUUUUAUGAUACAUUUAUGAUGAAGGUGAAAUGGACAAUAAAAGCUGCCAAUUCAAAUGAAAAGAAAAUA